CAAAAACAUGUCCUUUUGGUAUGUAUUUAAGGUCUAACCUGCCCGAUGAGUUAUUCAAUGGCCGCAGUAUUUUAACUGUGCUAAGGUAGCAUAAUCAUUUGUCUUUUAAUUGAGGGCUAGUAUGAAAGGUUGGACGAGGUAUUUACUUUCUUUAAUUUAAUUAUAUGAAUUUAAUAUUUGAGUUAAAAAGCUUAAAUUUAUUUGUUGGACGAGAAGACCCUAUAGAUCUUUAUAAUUUUAUAUUUUAGAAAUGUGGAAGUUAUUUUUUUUGAAGUAAAGGAAUUAUUUUGUUGGGGUGACUGUAGAAUAAAAUUAACUUCUAUUAAAUUUUAUCAUUUAUUUAUGUUUUUUUGAUCCAUAAUUUAUGAUUAGAAGAUUAAGUUACCUUAGGGAUAACAGCGUAAUUUUUUCGGAGAGUUCAUAUUGAUGAAAGAGUUUGCGACCUCGAUGUUGGAUUAAAAUGAGUAGUAGAUGCAGGAGUU
rnacentral:rRNA from 1 species